UACCCCACUAUGCUUAGCCAUAAACUUAGGCGUUAUUUCACAAUAAACGUCCGCCAGGGUACUACGAGCAUUAGCUUAAAACCCAAAGGACUUGGCGGUGCCUUAGAUCCCCCUAGAGGAGCCUGUUCUAGAACCGAUAACCCCCGUUAAACCUCACCACUUCUGGCCAUCCCCGCCUAUAUACCGCCGUCGUCAGCUUACCCUGUGAAGGACUAAUAGUAAGCAAAGUGAAUAUAAUUCAAAACGUCAGGUCGAGGUGUAGCGAACGAAGUGGGAAGAAAUGGGCUACAUUUUCUUUAACAAGAAUAUUACGAAUUACACUAUGAAAGCUAGUGCUCGAAGGAGGAUUUAGCAGUAAAAAGGAAAUAGAGUGUCCUUUUGAGCCCGGCUCUGAG
rnacentral:rRNA from 1 species